GUGAGGAAUAUUGGUCAAUGGGCGAGAGCCUGAACCAGCCAAGUCGCGUGAAGGAAGAAGGAUCUAUGGUUCGUAAACUUCUUUUGCAGGGGAAUAAAGUGCGGGACGUGUCCUGUUUUGUAUGUACCCUGAGAAUAAGGAUCGGCUAACUCCGUGCCAGCAGCCGCGGUAAUACGGAGGAUCCGAGCGUUAUCCGGAUUUAUUGGGUUUAAAGGGUGCGUAGGUGGUUUGAUAAGUCAGCGGUGAAAGUUUGCAGCUUAACUGUAAAAAUGCCGUUGAAACUGUCGGACUUGAGUGUAAAUGAGGUAGGCGGAAUGCGUGGUGUAGCGGUGAAAUGCAUAGAUAUCACGCAGAACUCCGAUUGCGAAGGCAGCUUACUAAGCUACAACUGACACUGAAGCACGAAAGCGUGGGGAUCAAACAGGAUUAGAAACCCGUGUUAGUCC
rnacentral:rRNA from 1 species